AAAUUCUUCAAGGCAUGACUUGAAUGUAAAAAUUUGAAUAUUUUCUUAGGUUUUAAUUUUCAAAAACAAUAUGAAUAAAUAUAAGUAGUUUUUGGCAUUUAUAAAUUGUGUUCGUUGUAGUAUUCUAAGGUUUGAACUCAUUCACUUAGAAAAGAAACUUAGAGCAUGACUAAGGAAGCAACAAAUUGAGGUUAGGUUCCAUUUAUUUAUAUGUACUUAUUUUUUAUGUCAAGGAAAAUGAUGAUGAACCAUAAAAAGCGAAUCCAAAGUAAGUUACAAUAUACAAUACAUAAAGUCUUUUUUCUUUGAUAAAUGGAUGUCUAUCUAAUUGAAUUUUUUAAAGAGUUAAUUUAAUUUCUUGUAUGAUAUUUUAAUUGCUAUGUCUGUUUUUAGAAGUCUCUUUAAUGACGGGUGAAAACUUCAGCCAAACUAUAUUUGUAGAUUGUUGAUCAAUAAUUAAUAUAUAUUUAGAGAAAUUGGAAAUGAGUUCCUUUCUACUUUGUACAAUAAUGUCAUGAUGACCGUUCAUAUAUUUCCUAGGUGUUAAUUGAGGCAACCACACUUCUCAUUCCUUUGCAAAAGAUUAGCCAGUACGAUUAUAAACCUCUUACUUCAACGAGUUAUUCAUUUAUUAUUUUUAUUUAUUGAAUUAGCCAGACAUACAAAUUGAAUUAUGAACCUAUUUUUCUGCAGUGUGCGAAGCAUAUUUUUCUUCUAAUAAAUUCAAUUCAUUUAAAUAUUUCUUUAUUGAUUUUGUCAGCAUAUUUUUCUUGAUUUUGGUUUAAUCUUUGUUGUUGCAGGUUCAAUUCCUUCUGGUUAUAUCUUUCGCUGGUUUGAUCUUCUUGUAUUGUAUUCUUAUUGUUUUCUAGUUGUUGAUUUUGGUUUCUUGAUUUUGGGGCUUGAUUUGGUUCUUGCUGGUUUCGAUAUGCGGCUAUUAUUUACAUUUUAACUGUUUUUUCUUUUAUUAUUUUAAUGAUCUGUAGCUAUUAUUUAGAUUUUAAUUCACUGUUCUUCCCAUUACACUUUUGCGUCAGUUAUUUGAUUAAUUUUCUUUGGUUGAUCAUGUUUAGUGAUAGUAGGCUGGACUUCUGAUGUUUAUAAGGUGUUGUAGAGAUGUUUUGCGAAACUAGAUACACGAUAAUUAGUUUUUAACUUGUGGUUAAAUAUAGUCAAUUUUAUUUCUUCAUUUAAAUUUAUUAUUAUUUUGAUUUUAAUUUCUGGCUUGAUUGCCACACAUUGAAUUGAAAUAUGGAUCUGUUUUCUGCAGUGUAGUGGAUCAAGUCUCAGGUUUGUUUUGGCUGGGAUUGUGAAUUAUUUUCAUUACAUUUCUUUUUUGGAGUUAGACUGUCUAGUUUUGUUGAUUAUGUUAUAGGUGAGAUAUGUCUGUUGAUGUGGAGUGAGGAUUACAACUGAAAAGUUUUGGCUUAGGGUUUCUUUACCCAUCAAUGCUCAUUUUUCUUAACCAGAAUAUGACUUUUUUUAUUUAUUUUUUAAAAUUUUGGUUUUCAAACUUGUAAUUUGGCAGUGCGGAAGUUCAUACUAUUAUGGAGAGAUGAGAAAGAUUUGUGAGCCUUUCCUAUUAAAUGCUGCUCGACAACAUGGUUUGGAGAAUUAUGUUACUCUUUGUUUUUCUUGGGUUUUUUCAGAAAUAGUCAAUGUAAUUUUACUGUACGUAUUUCAAAAAUAUUUUUCACAAAUAUUUCUGUUGUAUAUAAAAAUGGUCAUUUUGUAUUUACAUAUAUAAUAUCUUAUUGUUUUGGGAUAUUUGUCUUUUGAUGGAGUGCCAUGAGGUUUCGGAUUUUUUGUGUUGCUGUUUCAGCAAUAUUCUAGAGUAUUGAAGCAUACAAGAUUCUAGAGUGUACCUUUUCACUCAUCGAGGAUGUGGAAGGAUUGUAAUAUGUGAAACACACAAUUUAUGUGUUUUGCUGUGGGUUGAAGUUUAGAUAUCUAGAACAGUGAGCCUUGUUGGAUGGAUAAGAAAGGGAAAGCCCUAGAUAAAUCAAAUUUCUUCAGAGUCAUUAUUAUUGUUAUUUCUGGAUGUUGAUCGCAAAACAUACAAAUGAAUUGUGAACUUAUUUUUCUGCAGCGUGGUUUGUCAAUAUGAUAACCUUCGUCGAAGUAUUGAGCCUUGAGUUUUGAUUGGGU